AGCUAUGAUGAUAAUAUACCAAUUCCUGACUUGGUAUUGACUAAGGUCAUUGACCAAGAAAUGAUACAAUUAAUCUUCUCUCUGAGCUG